rnacentral:rRNA from 1 species
ACGGAAGGCAGCAGUGGGGAAUAUUGCACAAUGGGCGCAAGCCUGAUGCAGCAACGCCGCGUGAGGGAUGACGGUCUUCGGAUUGUAAACCUUUGUCUUUGGUGAAGAAGAAAGUGACGGUAACCAAGGAGGAAGCCACGGCUAACUACGUGCCAGCAGCCGCGGUAAUACGUAGGUGGCAAGCGUUGUCCGGAAUUACUGGGUGUAAAGGGGGCGCAGGCGGGACUGCAAGUUGGAUGUGAAAUACCGAGGCUCAACCUCGGAGCUGCAUCCAAAACUGUAGUUCUUGAGUGGAGUAGAGGUAAGCGGAAUUCCGAGUGUAGCGGUGAAAUGCGUAGAUAUUCGGAGGAACACCAGUGGCGAAGGCGGCUUACUGGGCUCUAACUGACGCUGAGGCUCGAAAGUGUGGGGAGCAAACAGGAUUAGAUACCCUGGUA